rnacentral:rRNA from 1 species
CCUACGGGGGGCAGCAGUAGGGAAUAUUGCUCAAUGGGGGAAACCCUGAAGCAGCAACGCCGCGUGAAGGAUGAAGGUUUUCGGAUUGUAAACUCCUUUUGUUAGAGAAGAUAAUGACGGUAUCUAACGAAUAAGCACCGGCUAACUCCGUGCCAGCAGCCGCGGUAAUACGGAGGGUGCAAGCGUUACUCGGAAUCACUGGGCGUAAAGAGCGCGUAGGCGGGAUAGCAAGUCAGAUGUGAAAUCCUAGGGCUUAACCAUAGAACUGCAUUUGAAACUGUUAUUCUAGAGUAUGGGAGAGGUAGGUGGAAUUCUUGGUGUAGGGGUAAAAUCCGUAGAGAUCAAGAGGAAUACUCAUUGCGAAGGCGACCUGCUAGAACAUAACUGACGCUGAUGCGCGAAAGCGUGGGGAGCAAACAGGAUUAGAUACCCCGGUAGUC